UACAAGGUCAUUUUCAAGUGAACUUCUUCAAGAUCUUUUAGUUAUUCUUGUGGAAAACUCAUCCAAUAAGGUUCCUUAAUGGCAGCUAGUCCAAUUCAAAGAAACAGAAUCAUCCGGGGUAACCUAAAAGGACAUGUAUGCUGCCAAAUAUUCUUCAGUUGCUGCAAGUACUUCCGCCUGGUAAUUCAAAAGCAGAAAGAGUCCCAAGUCCCAACUCCAACAGCGGAAGCAGCAGAUGGGGACAAGAACUUCAUGACUCUGGCAUCUGCUGUCUCAGAACUAAGCUAUCUGGAUGAUGCUACUUUUGCUGACCUUUAUCAGUGACGGUUGAAUUUGGAAUUAUCAUUGCUAUUUGUAGAAUGUGGGUUUCAUGCAGACAAAACCCCCGGACUUGAAGGUUACAACUUACGGUAUCAGAUUGCCUUAAUACCUGAAAUUGCAAGGUAUUGGUAGGGUGGUGUUGCUGUUGAAUAAUUAUAAUUGGUAUGGAACUUGGAACCAUCUGUAUCAUAGCAUAUGGAAUCACUAAAUGUAAUGAAAGAAGCUAUUUUUGCACUAGAACCUCAUUUCCUUGGCUA